rnacentral:lncRNA from 1 species
UUCUCUAUUUGAUCUUGUGUUUUCUCUGCAAAUACUUUGUGUUUUUUGUAUUUUCAGAGAAAAUUGUAGAGAAACUCUUGUGUGAGUUUGCUCUGUGGGAAGAUUGUGUUGUAUUUGUUGUUUAAGAACUCUGUAUUUUGUAACUUGAUUUUUGCCUAUUUUGGCCGGUAUAGUGAAUUCAAGCUUAAUCCUUUACGGAUGUUCAACGGGGGACUAAGCAUUAGAAGCGGUCGCUGAACCUUCGGGGCCUUUGGUCGAAAAAUCUCUUGUGUUCCUUAUUUUCUUGUUCUGUGUUUGAGAAAUAUUGAUUUUAUGCGUUGAGUAUUUUGGUUUAAACUCGAUUCUGGACCUACAGUGGUAUCAGAUCUUGGAAAUCUACUUUUAAAAUUCUAGUU